rnacentral:lncRNA from 1 species
GAUAAGAGAAUAAUUAACAAUGAAGAGAGGCCCUUGCUUGAAGACAACUUGAGUAAGAACUUUCAAGGGCUCGGGGUACGGAUUUGAGAGAACAAAAGGUAUAAUAUAAUCUUCCUGGAAUAAGAAUAUAGAUUAAACAAAGUUUAUACUCAAUAAAUACUUUUCCCACAAACACAGAGGCUCCAGCUCUGAGUUGAGGCACCAGUUGAGAACAGUAGGAAAAAGCAAGU